rnacentral:rRNA from 1 species
AAAAAAGGUAAGCUACUAAGAGCGAAUGGUGGAUGCCUUGACUGGUAAAGGCGAUGAAGGACGUACUAGACUGCGAUAAGCUACGGGGAGCUGUCAAGAAGCUUUGAUCCGUAGAUUUCCGAAUGGGGCAACCCAAUGUAUAGAGAUAUACAUUACCUAUAUAGGAGCGAACGAGGGGAAUUGAAACAUCUUAGUACCCUCAGGAAAAGAAAUCAAUAGAGAUUGCGUCAGUAGCGGCGAGCGAAAGCGCAAGAGGGCAAACCCAGUGCUUGCACUGGGGGUUGUAGGACUGCAAUGUGCAAGAGGUGAGUUUAGCAGAACAUUCUGGAAAGUAUAACCAUAGAGGGUGAUAGUCCCGUAUGCGAAAAACAAACCUUAGCUAGCAGUAUCCUGAGUAGGGCGGGACACGAGGAAUCCUGUCUGAAGCUGGGUCGACCACGAUCCAACCCUAAAUACUAAUACCAGAUCGAUAGUGCACAAGUACCGUGAGGGAAAGGUGAAAAGAACUGAGGUGAUCAGAGUGAAAUAGAACCUGAAACCAUUUGCUUACAAUCAUUCAGAGCCCUAUGUAGCAAUACAGGGUGAUGGACUGCCUUUUGCAUAAUGAGCCUGCGAGUUGUGGUGUCUGGCAAGGUUAAGCAAACGCGAAGCCGUAGCGAAAGCGAGUCUGAAUAGGGCGCUUAGUCAGAUGCUGCAGACCCGAAACGAAGUGAUCUAUCCAUGAGCAAGUUGAAGCUAGUGUAAGAACUAGUGGAGGACUGAACCCAUAGGCGUUGAAAAGCCCCGGGAUGACUUGUGGAUAGGGGUGAAAGGCCAAUCAAACUUCGUGAUAGCUGGUUCUCUCCGAAAUAUAUUUAGGUAUAGCGUUGUGUCGUAAUAUAAGGGGGUAGAGCACUGAAUGGGCUAGGGCAUACACCAAUGUACCAAACCCUAUCAAACUCCGAAUACCUUAUAUGUAAUCACAGCAGUCAGGCGGCGAGUGAUAAAAUCCGUCGUCAAGAGGGAAACAACCCAGACUACCAGCUAAGGUCCCUAAAUCUUACUUAAGUGGAAAACGAUGUGAAGUUACUUAAACAACCAGGAGGUUGGCUUAGAAGCAGCCAUCCUUUAAAGAAAGCGUAAUAGCUCACUGGUCUAGUGAUUUUGCGCGGAAAAUAUAACGGGGCUAAAGUAAGUACCGAAGCUGUAGACUUGCACACAACUUAGAUUAUUUAAGUUUAGAAUAUGAGAAACUAAGUUAUAUGUUUAGUUAUAUUUUUACUGAUUUUUAUAGAGUAAAGAUAGAAAUAAAACUUAGUAAAAUCAGUAAAAAUAUUCUUAGACUAAAGUUAAGUAGUUUAAGUUGUGUGCAAGUGGUAGGAGAGCGUUCUAUUUGCGUCGAAGGUAUACCGGUAAGGAGUGCUGGAGCGAAUAGAAGUGAGCAUGCAGGCAUGAGUAGCGAUAAUUAAUGUGAGAAUCAUUAACGCCGUAAACCCAAGGUUUCCUACGCGAUGCUCGUCAUCGUAGGGUUAGUCGGGUCCUAAGUCGAGUCCGAAAGGGGUAGACGAUGGCAAAUUGGUUAAUAUUCCAAUACCAACAUUAGUGUGCGAUGGAAGGACGCUUAGGGCUAAGGGGGCUAGCGGAUGGAAGUGCUAGUCUAAGGUCGUAGGAGGUUAUACAGGCAAAUCCGUAUAACAAUACUCCGAGAACUGAAAGGCUUUUUGAAGUCUUCGGAUGGAUAGAAGAACCCCUGAUGCCGUCGAGCCAAGAAAAGUUUCUAAGUUUAGCUAAUGUUGCCCGUACCGUAAACCGACACAGGUGGGUGGGAUGAGUAUUCUAAGGCGCGUGGAAGAACUCUCUUUAAGGAACUCUGCAAAAUAGCACCGUAUCUUCGGUAUAAGGUGUGGUUCGCUUCGUAUUAGGAUUUACUCCGAAAGCGAAGAAACUUACAACAAAGAGUCCCUCCCGACUGUUUACCAAAAACACAGCACUCUGCUAACUCGUAAGAGGAUGUAUAGGGUGUGACGCCUGCCCGGUGCUCGAAGGUUAAUUGAUGGGGUUAGCAUUAGCGAAGCUCUUGAUCGAAGCCCGAGUAAACGGCGGCCGUAACUAUAACGGUCCUAAGGUAGCGAAAUUCCUUGUCGGUUAAAUACCGACCUGCAUGAAUGGCGUAACGAGAUGGGAGCUGUCUCAAAGAGGGAUCCAGUGAAAUUGUAGUGGAGGUGAAAAUUCCUCCUACCCGCGGCAAGACGGAAAGACCCCGUGGACCUUUACUACAGCUUGACACUGCUAUUUGGAUAAGAAUGUGCAGGAUAGGUGGGAGGCUUUGAGUAUAUGACGCCAGUUGUAUAUGAGCCAUUGUUGAGAUACCACUCUUUCUUAUUUGGGUAGCUAACCAGCUUGAGUUAUCCUCAAGUGGGACAAUGUCUGGUGGGUAGUUUGACUGGGGCGGUCGCCUCCCAAAUAAUAACGGAGGCUUACAAAGGUUGGCUCAGAACGGUUGGAAAUCGUUCGUAGAGUAUAAAGGUAUAAGCCAGCUUAACUGCAAGACAUACAAGUCAAGCAGAGACGAAAGUCGGUCUUAGUGAUCCGGUGGUUCUGUGUGGAAGGGCCAUCGCUCAAAGGAUAAAAGGUACCCCGGGGAUAACAGGCUGAUCUCCCCCAAGAGCUCACAUUGACGGGGAGGUUUGGCACCUCGAUGUCGGCUCAUCGCAUCCUGGGGCUGGAGCAGGUCCCAAGGGUAUGGCUGUUCGCCAUUUAAAGCGGUACGCGAGCUGGGUUCAGAACGUCGUGAGACAGUUCGGUCCCUAUCUGCCGUGGGCGUAAGAAGAUUGAAGAGAUUUGACCCUAGUACGAGAGGACCGGGUUGAACAAACCACUGGUGUAGCUGUUGUUCUGCCAAGAGCAUCGCAGCGUAGCUAAGUUUGGAAAGGAUAAACGCUGAAAGCAUCUAAGCGUGAAGCCAACUCUAAGAUGAAUCUUCUCUAAGCUCUCUAGAAGACUACUAGUUUGAUAGGCUGGGUGUGUAAUGGAUGAAAGUCCUUUAGCUGACCAGUACUAAUAGAGCGUUUGGCUUAUCUUUAAUAAAGCAU